rnacentral:misc_RNA from 1 species
GCUCAAAAACAAAACUCAGAUUUCCUUUUUUCAUUUCAUUUUCGCGAGAAAAUCCUGCGUUUCCUCGAUAUACAACUCAGAUGAGAGCUUUUAGUGGAGAUUCCAGACCUUCUAACAACGUUCUCGAUACCAUAAACGCUGCCGCCUCAGCGAUCGCUUCCGCUGAGAAUCGUGUUCCUCAAGCUACGGUUCAGAAGAAAAGAUGGGGAAGCUGGUGGAAUGUAUACUGGUGCUUUGGAUAUCAGAGACACAGAAAGAGAAUUGGGCAUGCAGUCCUUGUUCCUGAAACAUCUGCUCCUGGAAAUGAU